GGGGAAUAUUGGACAAUGGGCGAAAGCCUGAUCCAGCAAUGCCGCGUGUGUGAAGAAGGUCUUCGGAUUGUAAGCACUUUCGACGGGGACGAUGAUGACGGUACCCGUAGAAGAAGCCCCGGCUAACUUCGUGCCAGCAGCCGCGGUAAUACGAAGGGGGCUAGCGUUGCUCGGAAUGACUGGGCGUAAAGGGCGCGUAGGCGGAUGGUACAGUCAGAUGUGAAAUUCCUGGGCUUAACCUGGGGACUGCAUUUGAUACGUGCGAUCUAGAGUGAGGAAGAGGGUCGUGGAAUUCCCAGUGUAGAGGUGAAAUUCGUAGAUAUUGGGAAGAACACCGGUGGCGAAGGCGGCGACCUGGUCCUUGACUGACGCUGAGGCGCGAAAGCGUGGGGAGCAAA
rnacentral:rRNA from 1 species